CCUACGGGUGGCUGCAGUGAGGAAUAUUGGUCAAUGGACGAGAGUCUGAACCAGCCAAGUCGCGUGAAGGAUGACGGCCCUAUGGGUUGUAAACUUCUUUUAUAAGGGAAUAAAACGAGUCACGUGUGCCUCUUUGCAUGUACUUUAUGAAUAAGGAUCGGCUAACUCCGUGCCAGCAGCCGCGGUAAUACGGCGGAUCCGAGCGUUAACCGGCUUUAUUGGGUUUAAAGGGCUCGUAGGUGGGUUGUUAAGUCAGUUGUGAAAGUUUGGGGCUCAACCGGAGAAUUGCAAUUGAUACUGGCAGCCUUGAGUACAUGUGAGGUAGGCGGAAUGCGUGGUGUAGCGGUGAAAUGCUUAGAUAUCACGAAGAACACCGAUGGCGAAGGCAGCUUACUAAACUGUGACUGACAUUGAUGCGCGAAAGUGUGGGUAUCAAACAGGAUUAGAUACCCGGGUAGUC
rnacentral:rRNA from 1 species